UUUUUUUUUUUUUUUGAAAAGAUGACAUCAUAUGACUAUUCCAAGGAAAAUGAUUUUUAAGAACACAAAAUCGUGUGAUGGAGUGUUGUACUGGAUUGGGAUUGAAUUUAUAGUCUCCAUUUCUUACCUAUUUUAUUUUAGCAAUCAAAAUUCUUGUUAUGUAGUGCAAACUAGAAAUUUAUGAUUUGUUCAUGAUCUUCAACUAUUGUUCAUUGUUAUAUCGAGAAUCUAUUUAAAAAAAUUAAGGCUUGGUUACAAAAAAACAAUCAUUUAUGUGCAAUUGUGUUUUAAUCUAAUGUUUUCAAUUUUGGCAAUUUAGGCCAAAAUUUUCAAAUUGAGUGCAAUUUUAUCCAAGUACCAAAUUGAUUGGGGGAAGCGUGUUAUUGUUGAUAUGGCACGCCACAUGGAAUAUUUUAUUCGUUAUGGGUAGGACCCACAUGGCAAGUUAGAACGUUUAGGCCAAAAUUGUCAAAAUUGAAAGCAUAGGAUUAAAACGAAAUUGUGUGCAAACUUUGGAUUGUUUUUAGUGUAAUUAAGUCAAAAAUUGAUUGUUCAUUUUAUUAUUUUGGGGUUGAAUUUAGGUUUUGAUUUUGCAACUUAGAAUGUAUUUGGUAGAAGAUUAAAAAAUUAAGGAUUAAAUAUUAUCCUCAUAAGUUUUAAUCUUUAAAUAGUGUAAUUAUUAACUUUGAAUCUCUCAAUAUUAGCAUUUAACCCCUCAAUAGGAUAUAAAUAUUAAUAAAGUAAAAAAUUAACAUAGUCUCUCGAAGUAUACAAGGAUAAUAAUUAUUCUUAUUAACUUCAUACCAAACACUUCUUAAGCAUUAAAAUUCAAUGCUCCUAUCCUGACUAUAUCCAAGAGCUAAUGAAAACAAGUGUAUCACCCAUUCAUUAUAACUCUUUAAAGCAACGAAGUGUAACUUACGCAUUACAUAUAAUUUCCUGCAAGAUUAAGCUUACAAAUAUGCUGACCUCGAUGCUGCAGGUGAUUGGUGAGCCGUCCAUGGUAAAGGAACCCAGUUCUACGGUGCAUAAUUCCGGCAGGCAUUAUAUUACCAAACUGAAUGCAAAGGAAAAGAAUCUGCUACUAGGCCUAAAUUCAGAGUUUACUUGCAAAACCAUAAUCUUCAUUCACACACCAAGGACACAUGUAAACGCUAUUCAAGCUGUGAACAAUAGGUAGUUAGGUAAGGUGCAAAUACACAUUACACUAUUGAUUGAUUUCAGAAAGUAGCUUUUCAAGUGAAUCAUUUGUAAGAGGGAUAUAUAAACAAUCUUGGCCAUCACUACGCCUUCUGGUCUUCACCAACUCGUGAUCCUUGAAUUCUGUCAAAUGGGAGUUAAGGGUAACCUGGCUACUCACAAGGAAGCGCUCUCUGGAGAUUGUAUAUAGAUUAUCAAAAGGCAUGCCUUCUUCUUCAGGGUGCGACCGUUGAUAUUCUGCAAGAAUUUUGAACACACUCUGAGCAUUGGGUGUCAAACUCUGUAAAACUAUUGCAGCUGUUUUGGCACUCUGCAUUGCUGUGCGCAAGAAUCAAAGGAGAGAAGAUUCCUUCACCCUUAUAUGGUGCAUAGGUGGGAACAUGGUACCAAUACCAGUUAAAUUGUGUGUGAACCAUCUUCUGGUCCCACACUACCAACAAACCCAGGAUGUGCUUGUUAGCUUCAAAGAUAUUGCAAAACUAAAUAUGGACAAUUGAGCAUAAUACUAAAAGAUUGAUGAGAAAAGAAAAUAUAAAAAGGCUUAAUUCUUUUUGCUUUCUGGAAAAUAUUUCCUAGAAAACAUUUUCAGCAUUUUUUUUUUAUGUUUAGUAUGCAACUAAGUCAUUUCAAGCAAAAUGACCUAAAUUUUAAAUGGGAAGUCACUUUCCACACUUUCACAAAUUUAGAAAGAUGGAAGGAAUUUCAAGGAAAUACAUAGACACAUAUACUCAUAAGGCUACUGAUCACAUCCAACCAUGAUCAUCUACGGCAAACUCAAUUCACCUGCUGCCACUGCUAAUUUCCAGUGACGACCAUAAUUCACCCUUUUUAAUUUUCUCUCUUAUUAAAUUAUAAAUUGGGAAAAAAAAUUCAAACCUUUUUUAUAUAUCUAGUUAUUGAAAUGAAAUUAAUAUUUUCAAAUGUACUCUUCAAAUGCUAAAAUUAUUUCUAACUAAUUUUUUAAUAUUGCAAUCAAAUAGUAGUAGUACAAAAGUUAUUUUCUCAUAAAAUAUUUUCCACAAAUAAGUUAUUUCUGCAAACAGAUGGAGCCAAAGAGUUAGAAGGAAGUUUUGCCCUUUAAUAAAAGGAAGGAUCAAAAGGAAUUACAUAGUGCACCUAUCCAUAUCACGCCAUAGAUAGAACCAACAAGGAAGUUUUGCACCUAUCAUUGGUUUGCCAUGAAUACGUCCACCGUUAUUCAGGAGACAUUCAAAAAGUCAAUAUUCAGGUACAUUCAAAAAAUGAAUAUUCAGGUUUUGAGAAUUAAGCAGAUAAAAUGAAUAGAGCCACCUAAGUUCCAUUCUAUUGAAGCAUUUGGAGAAAAAUAAAGCAAAAAGUUGCACUAGUAAUAAACAUGUUUAAUCAAAAAACAAUUUCAGUUUUGGUCUAAAACGCCAUAGCAACAGCAAUAGAAAUGCUAGGAAGGUUUUAACCAAAAUUAGAAGUGCUAUAGGCAAGUAACAACAUGCUAAACAUAACCAACAUCUUGUCCACAAAUAACAGACAAUGAAAAGAAAACACUUACAGAGAGGUGCAUUGACAUGGUCAACAGUGGCAAUGGUACGGAUAUUCGAACAAGAAGCAAUUCGUGCAAGAUACUGUUGGCUUUCAGAGUCUCUUAACCCAGGCCCAUCAAUGUUAUGAAUGACAACACAUAUAAAAGAAUCAUUUUCCUCUGCCUCUGAUUUAUCCAAAAAUGCAAGAAGAUCGUCCACCGAUCGAGAAUUGAAUGGCUGUUGAACUUUUUGUAAAAUCCUCGAUGAAGUCCUUUGUCUGGUUUUCAACUGAUCCCACCAAACUUCAGCUAAGGCUAUCAUGACCUGUUUUAGAUUAACUGACUGAAGAUACCCAUUGAUUACAACCACAGGAUACUCUGCCAAUGCUGUUGAAGCAAAAGAUUCAAUUAAAGCCUUCUUAGAUCCAAAUCCAUACAUUAGAAGGCCAAAACCACACCUGAGCUCAAAAACCCAUCGGGGAUAUAGCUUCUUAUAACUAUUCACAAGAGCAAUGGUCUCUUUCUCAUGCUUCGGUUCAAUAUUAGCUACAGCUGCUAUCAGCUCCUGUUCAUCAAUCAGAUCAAUAUCAGAAAUCUUGCAGGUUGAUUUCUUACCCGAACACUCUUUUGCAAGAAAGUAAUUCCUUGAGAACUCAAAUUCCUCUUCAUCACCAUUGUUAAUAUCCAUGAUUUAAGAAAUCAAACCAAAUAAGAAAAUGAUACACAGGAAUUUUGAUGGGCAGUGUCGAUAAUUGGUGUCUUGGCGGGCGGGAGGGAGGCGGGCAGUGAUGCGGUGGGAUUUCAAAACUCAACUUGGUUCCACAACUUCUAGCCACGGCCAAUUGGGUCCGAUAUCAGACAAGAAUCGGAGCCGGUGCUACACGCCCUAAAUC
rnacentral:misc_RNA from 1 species